AGCCAGCGCAGACUGGAGUGCCCCAGCCGUCUUUGGGCAAGUAUCUCUUUGAGCGGCUCACUCUCAAGCUUGAUUAGGAGG
rnacentral:pre_miRNA from 1 species